rnacentral:rRNA from 1 species
AUUACUAAGCGGAGGAAAAGAAACCAACUUGGAUUCCCCCAGUAACGGCGAGUGAAGAGGGAAGAGCCCAUCACCGAAUCCCCUGGCCGUCGGUCAGCGGGAACUGUGGUGUUUAGGACGCCGACUGUCGCAAUCGCUGGACGUCCGAGUCCUCCUGAUUGGGGCUUCACCCAGAGCGGGUGUCAGGCCUCUACGGCUUCCGCGGUUGUGGCUGCAAGUGUCCUUGGAGUCGGGUUGUUUGGGAAUGCAGCCCAAAGUGGGUGGUAAACUCCAUCUAAGGCUAAAUACUGGCACGAGUCCGAUAGC